rnacentral:rRNA from 1 species
CGGUGGUGAAGCUCACUUUCGUACUGAAUUCAGAAGUUUGUUUUGGGAUAUGGCAGCUUCAAAAAUGGAGUGGGUAAAAUUUCAAUCUUAAAAGCUUAAAUUAUUGGCCGAAGACCGAUAGCGGCACAAGUAGAAGUGAUCGGAAAGAUGAAAAGCACUUUGGAAAGAGAGUCAACCAGUACGUGAAAUUGUUGAAAGGGAAGCGCUUGCAACCAGACUUGCCCGCGGGUGAUCAGCCGGUAUUUUUACCGGUGCACUCGCCCGUGGUCAGGCCAGCAUCGGUUUGGGCGGCGGGAUAAAGUCCUCCGGAAUGUAGCUCCUUUCGGGGAGUGUUAUAGCCGGGGGUGCAAUGCUGCCCGCUUGGACCGAGGACCGCGCUUUGGCUCGGAUGCUGGCGUAAUGGUUGUAAGCGACCCGUCUUGAAACACGGACCAAGGAGUUUAACAUUUAUGCGAGUGUUUGGGUGUCAAACCCAUGCGCGUAAUGAAAGUGAACGGAGGUGGGAACCCUCCAGGGUGCACCAUCGACCGAUCCUGAUGUCUUCGGAUGGAUUUGAGUAAGAGCAUAGCUGUUGGGACCCGAAAGAUGGUGAACUAUGCCUGAAUAGGGUGAAGCCAGAGGAAACUCUGGUGGAGGCUCGCAGCGGUUCUGACGUGCAAAUCGAUCGUC